UACGUAGGGUGCGAGCGUUGUCCGGAAUUAUUGGGCGUAAAGGGCUCGUAGGCGGUUUGUCGCGUCGGGUGUGAAAUCCACUGGCUUAACUGGUGGCUUGCUUUCGAUACGGGCAGACUGGAGGUAUGCAGGGGAGAACGGAAUUCCUGGUGUAGCGGUGAAAUGCGCAGAUAUCAGGAGGAACACCGGUGGCGAAGGCGGAUCUCUGGGCCAUAACUGACGCUGAGGAGCGAAAGCAUGGGGAGCGAACAGG
rnacentral:rRNA from 1 species